CUGGGGAUUAAGUGCUUCAGAAGAGGAAGACUUUACAAGAGCUGAGGGACUCUCAAGGAAUAAAGAUCCAAUUAGCAUGAAGAAGUUGAGAUUAUGGAGCAACUGACCAAUUUGCCAAGCAUAACAGGCAGUGAAGAGCAGAAUGAGGUCUAGAACUCAGACCUUCUGACAGGUAGUUCUCAAGUGGAGAAGAUAAAAGGGAGAGUUGGAAGAUGUUGCAUACCACAUCCACUAUCCUGAAGAAAACUGCCGUGGACACAGAGGUGGCCGAGUGGCCAGCUGUGCCCUAAAAUGCCUGAAGCCAUUGCAAUCAGUGCUCUACUGUCUGAGGCUCCCAAAAUGAAACACUUUGAACACUCAU